rnacentral:rRNA from 1 species
UACGGGGGGGGCAAGCGUUGUUCGGAAUUACUGGGCGUAAAGGGCUCGUAGGCGGCCAACUAAGUCAUACGUGAAAUCCCUCGGCUUAACCGGGGAACUGCGUCUGAUACUGGAUGGCUUGAGUUCGGGAGAGGGAUGCGGAAUUCCUGGUGUAGCGGUGGAAUGCGCAGAUAUCAGGAGGAACACCGGUGGCGAAGGCGGGUCUCUGGGCAGUAACUGACGCUGAGGAGCGAAAGCGUGGGGAGCGAACAGG